rnacentral:rRNA from 1 species
CCUACGGGUGGCUGCAGUGAGGAAUAUUGGUCAAUGGCCGCAGGGCUGAACCAGCCAAGUCGCGUGAGGGAUGACGGUCCUAUGGAUUGUAAACCUCUUUUGUCAGGGAGCAAAGGGCGCCACGUGUGGCGUUUUGCGAGUACCUGAAGAAAAAGCAUCGGCUAACUCCGUUCCAGCAGCCGCGGUAAUACGGAGGAUGCGAGGGUUAGCCGGAUUUAUUGGGUUUAAAGGGUGCGCAGGCGGAAUGUCAAGUCAGCGGGAAAAUUUCGGGGCUCAACCCCGUCGGGCCGUUGAAACUGUGUCCCUUGAGUGCGCGAAGGGUAGGCGGAAUGCGUGGUGUAGCGGUGAAAUGCAUAGAUAUCACGCAGAACUCCGAUCGCGAAGGCAGCAUACCGGCGCGCAACUGACGCUGAUGCACGAAAGCGUGGGUAUCGAACAGGAUUAGAUACCCGUGUAGUC